AUGCAGACAUGGGGUGGGAACAGAGAGUCGUGGAGUGCCCCCUGGACUGAGCCCCAGGCCGGUGGUCUGGCUGAGCAGUUGAUGUUGGGCUCUCUUACUCACGUGGGUUGGAGGACGUGGGACGAGGCCCUUUCUGGCCUUUUCUUUCCCCUUCCCUGCGUGCGCGUUGGCAACGCGUGUGGCUGGAAGAGUUCCCUGCCUAGGCAGCGAGGGGCUGCUGUGGAGGAAAGGGGGGGCUGGCAAGAGCAGGCGUCAACGGCUGUGCCCCUCCUGCUGCCCUGGAGGGGUUUGUCAGAGGGACUCCAAGCAGCUGGGAAGUCCUCGUGUGUUUGGAGGUCUGCUUUCACCUUCUGCCUUUCACUUACAGAAAUGGAGCUUGCCAAAACGCUGCAAGCCUUAGCCACUGCCUUCAGGAAGACCAGCGCUCAAGAGGUGAGCUGCUGGAGAUGGGCAGCCCCCAAAGCCCACCUCGCAAACCCCAGCGCCCUGCUUCCUGCGCUCCCACGCCACCUGCCCGGUGGGGGGCUUUGUCCUGCCAGGCCAGCUGGGGUGGGCCAGCUUCUGCAGGCCUCCCGUCUUGGACAGCUUCUGCAGGCCUCCCGUCUCCCUCCUGGCACUCUCUCUGCAGCCUGGCACAACAGUGUCCCAGCCCAGGCCUGGGCUUUUGUCAGGAACAGGCACACACGCCGAGCCGCUUGCUCUUCGCCCGCCUUGAAGGAGAUACCUCCCUGGUCUCGCCAGCUCGAGUUCAGUCUCAGCAGCGUGUGUUUUCUCGUUUUGCAGGCACCCGUGCCACCCCUGGCCACUGCUUUGCCCACUCUGGAGGAUGAUGCAGCUCACGGGCAAGGCAUUGGGCCAGGCGAUGAGGAACAAAAGCAAAGCCUUCAGGUAGGAGAGCCGCCCAAGGCAGACGCUCGUCCCUGUACCCACACAGGCUUCUUCAUGCACACGCGCAUGCAUGCGCAGUCGGGACCCAGGCGACUGGCUGCACAGUGGCUCUGGUCAGUAGGAAGCAAAUGCUGGCCAUCUCCCUGCUCCCUGGCACCACAGGCAGCUCGGAAGGGAUAG
rnacentral:lncRNA from 1 species